rnacentral:rRNA from 1 species
CUGCAACUGUUUAUUAAAAACACAGCACUGUGCAAAAUCGCAAGAUGACGUAUACGGUGUGACGCCUGCCCGGUGCCGGAAGGUUAAUUGAUGGGGUUAGCGCAAGCGAAGCUCUUGAUCGAAGCCCCGGUAAACGGCGGCCGUAACUAUAACGGUCCUAAGGUAGCGAAAUUCCUUGUCGGGUAAGUUCCGACCUGCACGAAUGGCGUAAUGAUGGCCACGCUGUCUCCACCCGAGACUCAGUGAAAUUGAAAUCGCUGUGAAGAUGCAGUGUACCCGCGGCUAGACGGAAAGACCCCGUGAACCUUUACUACAGCUUGGCACUGAACAUUGAACCUACAUGUGUAGGAUAGGUGGGAGGCUAUGAAGACGUGACGCCAGUUGCGUUGGAGCCGUCCUUGAAAUACCACCCUUGUAUGUUUGAUGUUCUAACUUAGACCCAUUAUCUGGGUUGAGGACAGUGCCUGGUGGGUAGUUUGACUGGGGCGGUCUCCUCCCAAAGAGUAACGGAGGAGCACGAAGGUGGGCUAAUCACGGUUGGACAUCGUGAGGUUAGUGCAAUGGCAUAAGCCCGCUUAACUGCGAGAAUGACGGUUCGAGCAGGUGCGAAAGCAGGUCAUAGUGAUCCGGUGGUUCUGUAUGGAAGGGCCAUCGCUCAACGGAUAAAAGGUACUCCGGGGAUAACAGGCUGAUACCGCCCAAGAGUUCAUAUCGACGGCGGUGUUUGGCACCUCGAUGUCGGCUCAUCACAUCCUGGGGCUGAAGUCGGUCCCAAGGGUAUGGCUGUUCGCCAUUUAAAGUGGUACGCGAGCUGGGUUUAGAACGUCGUGAGACAGUUCGGUCCCUAUCUGCCGUGGGCGUUGGAAGAUUGAAGGGGGCUGCUCCUAGUACGAGAGGACCGGAGUGGACGAACCUCUGGUGUUCGGGUUGUGCCGCCAGACGCAUUGCCCGGUAGCUAAGUUCGGAAUUGAUAAGCGCUGAAAGCAUCUAAGCGCGAAGCGAGCCCUGAGAUGAGUCUUCCCUGACAGUUUAACUGUCCUAAAGGGUUGUUCGAGACUAGAACGUUGAUAGGCAGGGUGUGUAAGCGUUGUGAGGCGUUGAGCUAACCUGUACUAAUUGCCCGUGAGGCUUAACCAU